rnacentral:tRNA from 1 species
GGAGGAUUGGCCGAGUGGCAAGGCACUGGCUCGCUGAGCCAUGGUCGGGCGCAAGCCCGCGCACGUUCGAUCCGUGCAUCCUCCG